rnacentral:rRNA from 2 species
UAAGUCCCGCAACGAGCGCAACCCUUGAUCUUAGUUGCCAGCAUUCAGUUGGGCACUCUAAGGUGACUGCCGGUGACAAACCGGAGGAAGGUGGGGAUGACGUCAAAUCAUCAUGCCCCUUAUGACCUGGGCUACACACGUGCUACAAUGGAUGGUACAAAGGGCUGCAAACCUGCGAAGGUAAGCGAAUCCCAUAAAGCCAUUCUCAGUUCGGAUUGCAGGCUGCAACUCGCCUGCAUGAAGCCGGAAUCGCUAGUAAUCGCGGAUCAGCAUGCCGCGGUGAAUACGUUCCCGGGCCUUGUACACACCGCCCGUCACACCACGAGAGUUUGUAACACCCGAAGUCGGUGAGGUAACCUU